GCCAGGCAUGGUGGCGUGCACCUGUAAUCCCAGCUACUUGGGAGGCUGAGGCAGGAGAAUCGCUUGAACCCAGGAGGCGGAGGUUGCAGUGAGCCGAGAUCGUGCCACUGCACUCCAGCCUGGGUGACAGAGCGAGACUCUGUCUCAA
rfam:Homo sapiens chromosome 19, GRCh38 reference primary assembly.